rnacentral:rRNA from 1 species
UAAUCUGGUUGAUCCUGCCAGUAGUCAUAUGCUUGUCUCAAAGACUAAGCCAUGCACGUCUAAGUACAAACUAAAUGAUGGUGAAACUGCAAAUGGCUCAUUACAACGGUUAUGAUGUACCCGGGAGUUCCGAUGGAUAUUUCCAGUAACACUAGAACUAAUACAUGUCCCUGCGUUUAUUAGUUUCACACAGUCCGUCGCUGAGUCAUGGUAAACAGUUGAUCGACUCGACGUCCCGGAACAGUUUCCGCCCCAUCAGCUUCGAUGGUUGGGUAUUGGCCUACCAUUGCAACAACGGGUAACGAGGAAUUAGGGUUUGAUUUCGGAGAGGGAGCCUGAGAAACGGCUACCACAUCUACGGAUGGCAGCAGGCGCGCAAAUUACCCAAUGCAGACACUGUGAGGUAGUGACGAGAAAUAAUAAAGCGGGACUUCUGUUUCGCUAUUAUAAUGAGUAACAACCAAAGGUCGUUACGAUUAGCAACUGAUGGGAAAGUCUGGUGCCAGCAGCCGCGGUAAUACCAGCGUCAGUAGCAUAUAUUAAAAUUGUUGCAGUUAAAACGUCCGUAGUCUGUACGUCGUCCCAAACUCACUGCAGUCUUGCGUCUUCUUCACUGAAUGCGCAAGUAUCUGCAGUCACUCCCUUGAUCAAAUUAGGUUGUUCAAGGUAGACAGAGUCUUCAUAUUUUCACAUGGAAUUGGGUGAGGGAACUUAAGAGUUUAAGUUUCUCGUCUUAGGAUCAUCCGGGGUCAUUCGUACUCGUCCGCGAGAGGUGGAAUUCUUGGACCGGACGAAGACGACCAGCAGCGAAAGCAUCUGUCAGGGAUGUUUUCUGCGACAAAGGACGAAGGUCAGGGUAUCGAAGACGAUUAGAUACCGUCGUAGUCCUGACUGUAAACUAUGCCAACUUGGGUCUUGCUGGGCUAAUGCUUUGUGAGACCCACACAGAAAUGAAAGUGUAUGGGUUCUGGGGGUAGUAUGGACACAAGUCUGAAACUUGAAGGAAUUGACGGAAGAGCACCAUAAGACGUGGAGCUUGCGGCUUAAUUUGACUCAACGCGGGAAAACUUACCAGGUCAAGACAUGGGCGUGAUUGACAGGCUAAUGACUUUUCUCGAUUCCAUGGAUGGUGGUGCAUGGUCGCACUUAGUUGGUGCAGUGAUUUGUCAGGUUUAUUCCGGUAACGAACGAGACCUC